GUCGACGGCCGUGCCAGCCCAAACACCCCCGACCUCGUCUGAUCUCAGAAGCUAAGCAGGGUCGGGCCCGGUUAAUACUUACUUAGGAAUGUAGGAGGGUCCCCA
rnacentral:rRNA from 1 species